rnacentral:piRNA from 1 species
UACAGACAUUGUAUCACUACCCACAGAC